rnacentral:lncRNA from 1 species
ACCAUGUCUGCCUGAUUUACAAAAAAUUUCAAAAUUGAAAUUUUGUAUUUGAGCCUAACAAAGCAAAUUGUAAAAGCUUGCUAAUUAAUUCAAUUUUACAAAUAUUUGAAUUUAUUUAGUUUUAUACCUAAUGUAUGCAAUUGUAUCAACUAUCCACUAAAAAGAUUUAAUUACCCUUAUAAAAUGAUAAAGUAAAAGCAAACACAAAUUAUAGUUAUAGUGGCAAACACAAAUUAUAGUUAUAGUUAUUUUGUAAAGAUAAUUUUGUCUUCUUGGGGGGCAAUGAUUACACAUUGGAAUCAAUGGGUCGAAAAUCAAACAAAUUCAAACUUUUAAAGUAUUUUAAUAAUAGAAUAAAAUUAAGGUGGAUGGUUGAUAAUUUCCCUUCCAUCUAUUUGACAAAAAGCAAAGCCAAACAUUCACGAGUUUCAAGUUGCAACCUUUUCAAAUUCUCCAACAACCUAUGCCUGAUCCAACUGUUAGAAAUUCAAACAUAAUGUAUAUUUAUAUUGUACAUGCAUGAACAAUGAACAUAACAAAACAUGAACACUAAAUGGAUUUGAUUUUUUGUUCAUGAAUUCAAUUAUGUAUUGUUAUGUCAUAAUUAUCUCAUAUCUCAUUAAUUCAAAUCCAUUGAAUGGAUUUGUUUUUAGGUACAUAAAUUAUGUUCAGUCUAUUAUUUAUAGAGUUGGCAUUUUAUGGCAAGUCUAGUUAAAUUGGAAGUUUAUUUAUUGCAUAUCUUGUAAUAGGGAUUAAUUUAUUAAUUCCCUAAUUUAGUGAGAUUCUAAUUUAUUAGGAAUAUUUGUUUCCUAAUUUAAUUAUAUGUCUAUUUUAGCAAUUCAAUUAAUGGUUGGAUUCUAUAAUUGACUCAUGACAUCUAUUUAGAGUAAGAAGUUGUUUCAAACAUGAAGUCAUUAAAUGCUCUAGAUAUUUCUUAGGAGACAAGUAAGGUAAAAAUAUCAGAUUUAAUCCUAUUCAGAUUCAUGGGAAUUAUAAGAGCAAAAAACUCUUAUUUGCAAAGAAUUCAAGUCUUUUAAGACUUGCUAUUUUGGUGAAACCCUAGUGCCUAUAUAAAGAGAGGUAUUUCAAAAUUGAAGGGUGAUCGCACAACACAGAGCGUAAAGCAAAAAAGCAAAAUUCGGCCUCCUCCCUAGAGAAUCCGGAUUUGGCGCAUAAUGUUGUGUUGAUUUUUUUCUUAUCUUCUUUUCAUCUCUGUGGAGAGUUUAUGUGGAUCUUGGAUCACUAAACAUUGAAGAAUUGAAUAAUUGCUAUUGAUCACUUUGCGAAGUGCCUUGAGGAUCGUGGAUCAAGAGAGGUAGCAAUUAUUCAAGAGAAGCAGAUUCAUUCUAAGGUUGAGUAACCUAUAAGUGAGAGUCGUAAGUUCGGUAAAUCUAUAGGUUGUAACAUCUCAACUUAGUGAAUUACUUUUCAUCUGGGUGUGGCCUCGUGGAUGUAGGAUUGAUUAAUCUGAACCACAUAAAAAUCUUCGUGUCAUUUAUUUUCUACACUUUAUUGUGUUUUUGGAAAAUUAAUAUUUUUUAUGCGGAUGAACAGUAACCGUGAACAGUUGCAGUAAACAGUAAAGGUGAACAGUACUUUAGAAAAAUUAAUUAAGUAAUUAAUUUUUUAUUUUUUAAUUGCCUACAUCUAUUUUUUAUAGAUCUAAAUUCCUUUCAAUUGGUAUCAGAGAGGGACACUAACUAUUUAUUUAGUGAGAUUCUUGGAACCUAGAUCUAUUUUGUAGGUAUGAGUUUGCAAAGAGAGAGAGGCUCUUUGGCUCGUCCACCUGCACUAGAUGGGACGAAUUAUGCUCAUUGGAAGCAAAGGAUGGAAAUUUAUCUGACAGCUAUUGAUGAAAGAGUUUGGCAAUGCAUACUCACAGGAUAUACUCCACCUAUCAAAAUUGGUGAAGAUGGUGUAGAAUUUCUCAAGCCAGUCAAAGAAUGGACUAAUGAUGAACUUGAUACGUCUGGAUAUAAUGCAAAAGAGCUUAAUGCCAUUGUUAAUGGAGUUGAUGUGUUUCAAAACCAACUAAUUUCUACAUGCAAGACAUCCAAAACUGCUUAGGAUAUACUCCAGAGUACUUUUGAAGACGACAAUACGGUAAAACGUUCUAAACUUAAAAAACUUACAUCUGAUUUUGAAAAUCUGAAAAUGCAUGAACAUAAAACCAUAUAUGAAUUUAAUUCUAGAAUCCUUGCUUGGUUAAUAAUUUUUUUGCUCUUGGAAAACCUAUUUCUGAGGAAGAAAUUUGUUGAAAAAUUUUAAGAUCUGUCCAUCCUAGAUAUUAUCCUAAAAUUUUGGCCAUUGAAGAAUAUGCUGAUAUGUCUGCUAUGAUUAGGGGUUCACUUAUAGGAAAAUUGAUGGUCUAUGAGACUAACUACUUGAAUUUGGAUCCCAAGAAAGGAAAAUGUAUUGCUUUUCAGGUUGAAACGGAGGCUCCCGUCACCAAAUCAAGUGAAGAUGAUUAUCCAUUUUUGUACGUGGAUAAUUCUCUUGCACUCAUUGCAAAGAAUUUCAAGAAGAUGUUGAAAAAGAAGAACUUCAACAAACUAAAGAAAACAUCAACAUUAGUGGCUCCUAAGGUUCAAAAAGGUUCUUCUAACUCUAAUUCUAAAUUGUUUGAUUUCAACAAACUUAAGGGUAUCCGAUGCAGAGAAUGCGGAGGCAUAGGACACAUAUAAGCAUAAUGUGCCAACACUCUUAUGAAAAAGAAAGCAAUGCAAUCCACUUGGAGUGAUGAUAAUUCUAACGAUAGCAUCGAUGAAGAAGACCUUGUUAGAGGACUUGUUGUCCAUAAUGAUGGCAGUAAACAGGAAUCAAACAUCAUAAAUGCAUCCACAUCUGAAGCCUCUCACUUAGCUCCUUGUAAAGAAGACAUUGAUUCUCAUCUUGACACAAUUGUGCAACAUGUUAACCAGAAUAAUAAUUCAGAUAGCGACGUCAGUGACAUUGAUAUAAAUGACAAGAAAGCAUUUCAUGAAAGCUACAAGAUGAUGUUCGCUAAAUAGGAAGAAGUCUAUAAUGAGAAUGUGACCUUGAUGACUCAAGUAUCCAAUCUUUUAGAUGAUAAGGCGAAACUUGAGAGUGAAGUAAUUCAUUACAAGUCUUUACUUACUGACAAAGAUAACCAAUUGCUUGCAGUGACAACAGAAUUAGAGAAUACCAAAAAGUCACUUAAGAUGAUAAGUUCUGGAACUCAAAAGUUAAACCAUAUCUUGUCACUUGGCAAAUCUAGCUCAGAUCAUCAUGGUCUUGGAUAUCAACAUAGUAAAGACUCGAAUUCUCAAAGUGUGUUUGUUAAAGCUUCUUCACAAACAGCUUCUCCACCUAUAGUGAAACUUCUAUAUCUUCAAAAAGAUAAAGUUGUUGCACAUUCUUCACCAGUUCAUCAAGGUAAGAACAACAAGUUUAUUCAUACUUGUCAUUUUUGUCACGUGAAAGGGCAUAUAAGACCUAAUUGCUUCAAGCUCAUUAAAUAUAUGAAAAAGGUUAUGUUCUUUAAUUAUACCCAUGGAAAACCUAGGAUGACACCUAGACCUAAGGUUGAGACAAGUGAAAAUAAACCUAGAACUACUUGGAUAAGGAAGACUGAUUAUAAAGCUUAUGUUUUCUUUAUUUCCUUGAGAACUUUUACUACUGAUUUUUGGUAUUUUGAUAGUGGUUGUUCUAGACACAUGAUAGGUGAUAAAAGUGUCUUGGCCAAUUAUAAAAAACUUGAUCGAGAAAAUGUAACCUUUACUGAUGGUGUGAAAAGUCGAGUGCUCGGAAAGGGAACUUUAAAUGUGGAAGGGUUUCCAAAACUUGACAAUGUUCUGCAUGUGGAGGAUGUCAAAGCAAAAUUUACUCAGCAUUAGUCAAAUUUGUGAUCAAAACUUAUUUGUCAACUUUGACAGGAACAAAUGUCACGUUCUUGAUGUUGAUGGAAAUUGCAUUUUGGAAGGACAUCGAUCAUCUGAUCAUUAUUAUAAAUUGACUAGCUCAAUUGUGUGUCAUAAGACCACUCUUGAUGACACAGAAUUGUGGCAUCAAAACUUGGGUCACUUGAACUACAGAUUACUGACUAGAAUUAUGAAAACAGGUGCUAUAAAAGGAGUUCCAAUGCUUAAAAAGAAACAACCUGGAAUAUGUGGCUCAUGUCAAUCUAGAAAACAAAAAAGGGCAUCGCAUAAAGCCAUUCAGGAUAAAGCAACAUCAAAGGUGCUACAACUACUUCAUAUGGAUCUUAUGAGACUAAUGCAAGUUGAACGUUUGGCUAGGAAAAGUUACUCCUGAAGUUCGAGUUAUUAAGAAAAGUCAGUCUAGUGAACCUCCUUUGAAAGAAAAAGAACUUGUUGAAGAAGACACCUCUAAGGAAACACCAGAGAUUAUGAAGGAGAAAUUUUCAAAACUCCAGGCAAUCAUGUACCUGUAGGACCCAAUCAGAAAGGAACCAUCAUCAAGAGUUAAGAAAAAUCACCCAUCUGAGCUUAUUCUAGGUAAUAUUGAUGAACAAAUGGUCACAAGGAAAAGGUAUGCAAAUAUAGUAAGAUUUACUUACUUUGUAUCUUUUAUUGAACCUAAGGAUCUUAAUGAAGCUUUAGUUGAUAAAUUUUGGGUCAAAGCUAUGCAAGAAGAAUUAGAACAAUUCGAGAGAAAUGAUGUUUGGAUGCUAGUACCUAUACCAAGUCACACUAAUGUUAUAGGAACCAAAUGAAUUUUUAAGAACAAAACUGAUGAAUUUGGUAACAUAGUGAGAAAUAAAGCUAGGUUGGUUGCACAAGGCUACACGCAAAUUGAAGGUGUUGACUUUGAUGAAACCUUUGCACCUGUUGCUAGAAUCGAAUCUAUUCGUUUGCUUUUUGCAGUUACUUGUUUAAUAGGCUUUAAAUUAUUUCAAAUGGAUGUUAAGAGUGCCUUUUUGAAUGGCAUCUUAAAUGAAGAAGCAUAUGUUGAACAAUCUAAAGGUUUUGAAGAUCCUUAUUUCCGAAAUCAUGUUUUCAAAUUGAAAAAGGCUUUAUAUGGUUUAAAGAAGACUCCUCGAGCUUGGUAUGAAAGGUUGACAAAAUUUUUGCUUGAAAAUAGUUAUAAGCGAGGGGGAGUAGAUAAAACACUAUUUAUUAAGCAACUCAAUCCAGGGAUUUUAGUUAUUCAAGUCUAUGUUGAUGAUAUAGUGUUUGGUUCUACUUCUUCUGAUCAUGUGCAAGAAUUUGUGAGUCAAAUGAAAAGGGAAUUUGAGAUGAGUAUGGUGGGAGUAUUGACUUACUUUUUGGGUUUACAAGUGAAAAAAAUGGAGAAUGGAAUUUUUGUUAAUCAAAGUAAGUAUGCAAAGAGUUUAGUCAAGAGGUUUGGUUUAGAUUCUGCAAAACACUUGAGAACCCCUAUGAGUACUAAUGCCAAGUUUAUUGUUGAUGAUAGUGGUUCUAGUGUUGAUCCUAGUCUUUACAGAAGCAUGAUUGGUAGCUUACUUUAUUUGACUGCAACUAGACCGGAUAUAUGUUUCAGUGUUGGUGUGUGUGCUAGGUACCAAGCAAAUCCAAAGGAAUCACACUUAACUACUGUCAAACGAAUCAUUCGUUUUGUUACUAGAACAGUUAAUGAUGGUAUUUGGUACACUAAUGACACUAAUUCAAGUCUUGCAGGAUAUAGUGAUGCAGAUUGGGCUGGUAAUGCUGAUGAUAGAAAAAGCACCACUGGAGGAUGCUUUUAUCUUGGAAAUAACUUAGUAUCGUGGCAUAGUAGGAAACAGAAUUCAAUUUCUCUUUUCACAGUUGAAGCAGAAUAUAUUGCAGCUGGAAGUUGUUGCACCAAAUUGCUCUGGAUGAAACAAAUGCUUGCAGAUUAUGGUAUAGUUCAGGAUAUUUUGACUGUGUUUUGUGAUAACACGAGUGCUAUCAAUAUUUCUAAAAAUCUUGUUCAACACUCUAGGACAAAGCAUAUUGACAUUCGUCAUCACUUCAUUAGAGAUUUAGUUGAGAGUAAGACCGUAUCCUUAGAAUACAUUGAUACAGAAAAAUAGCUUGCAGAUAUUUUCACAAAAGCUUUAGACUUCAAACGAUUUGAAUCUUUAAGGAAAGCUUUAGGUGUGCGUUUCAUCUAAUUCAAAUUUUUUUCAUGCAUUUGUGCAUUAGAUAUAGGUCAUGCAUUUAUAAAUUUCAAUUUUAAAUCAUUGUUUUUGUGUUCCAUUUUCUUGAUGACAAGCAAUUUUUCAUGUUUUUUAAAGAUUUGAAAGUCUUGAAUAAGUUUUGACUAGAGUUAUUUAACUUUUCUUCAAAAGCACAUAAAUGACAAUUCAGUCUCUACUUUGACUCAAGGUUUUGAUAUUGACAUGGUCCUUGUUGAGAAUAUUUGACUUGAGUUAUGACUAUUUGCCUUGAAUCUUAUCUUGUCAUAAGACCUCAAGUAUAUGCAGACACUAUGGUCAGAAAUAGAUACCUAUAACUCUUAAGAGUGAAGAUAUCCUUGAGUAAUCUGAGUCUGCGUAUCACAAAUAUGACAGAGGACGAACUACCAUGAGAAGAAGGCUAUCCUUAGAGUGAAAGCUCCUGACCAUAAAUUUUAAAAAAAAAAAGAAUGAAAGGCUUUGCAAGCACAAAAAAAAAAAGAAGUAUGUCAAUUGAAAUGGUCAAAAAUUGAAGAUCAAGAUGAUAAGGUUAGUUUGACCAACUCUAUGUUUUAUAUUUAAGACUUUGACUGUGAAAAUUGAUGAAUUUUUGGGAAAAAUGUUUAGAUUGAGUGGUUUGCACACACACACAAGCUUAAAUUUCUCUAAUCUUUACUUAAUUGAGGCAAUUAGAAUCUUGAUUAUAUGAAUCAAACAUUUUUUUUGUUCAAUUUCAUUAUUAAUGCAAUUUUUAAAACAAAAAAAAAAUUCACGUUGCAUGUGCAUUCUCAUUUUCUUACAUAAUGAUAUGUUUUUAAGUCUGAAGAGUCAAAUAUUUUUUUUUUAACCAAAACUCAAAAGUUUUUUAAAGUGCAUUGACAAGGUUUUCCCAUCACAACUGAGCAUGUUGCGAUCUUUUGGUCAUAACUUUGUCUACAGAACUCCAAAUUUGAUUUUGUAAAAUCUUGGAAAAGCUAAUUCAAUAAGCUUUCCAACAGUAUAUAGAUCGCAUUAUGAUUCUGCCUCAUUCAUUCCCAGUUAAUUUUGAAGUUCUCUGUUCUACAAUGUCUGUUUGUUUCAUAAAGUAUCUGCAUGGGAUUUCGUUUUGAUAUUUUUCUCUUUGUUUCUGACUUGUUUGAGUCGGUUUAUGUUUAGUUACUGAUUUGGAACGAAAUCUAUGAUGAUUUGUGCAUUAAAUUGGAAUACAAUCCGCUUUAUUAAUGUUUUUCUUAUGUUAGUUGGAUUUCCAAACCUUACUUGAACAAGUCAAGUUCUUCUAUAUAAGGCAACCCUUAGAUCCUUGUUCUGCAUUCAAAUUUGUGGCUUCUUUCUCCCUUCUUUCGGUUGGUCUAGAUUUUGUUCAUUCUUCUUGUUUAAAUUUUUCUCCCUUGUUCUUAAUAUUCCUCUUCCAUCGCUUCUAAGCUUAACAUUGGUGAGAGCUCUCAUGCUAACUCUAAUCCCGAGCGGCAUCCCACUCUUACACUUUUCAUUUGUUUUGGUUGUGGACGACCUCAUGAAAUUCAUAUACUUGAUGAUGAUGAGGAUUUUGGUCCCAAAUUUGGACAAAUACCUCCUGAAGAAUCCAUGCAUUCAAGUGACAGCGACUCCAUGGAAAGUGACCCUAAUGAAGAUAGUUUUCACUCUGGCCCUUCCUUCUUUGACCCUAGGAUCACCACCAAUGCCACCAUUGUUCAUGUUGCCAUUACCGACCACCAGUCGCCGCCACACGCGCCCUCACACGCCGUCACCAAUGGAACUCCUCCUAGUACUCUUCAUGAUCUUCCUACUUUUGUUGCAGCCUCUGUUUGCUCUUCUCCUCCACCUGCCUCUUUUGCUCAUAAUCUUGAGGCCACCAUUUUGAAACAAGGGCAAGAUAUUGCUAAUCUUUCUACUCGUUUGGCCAAAUUGCAUGCAAAACUACUUCCCUUUUGUAAUCUUUUGGCAAAAGAGAGAGAGUAAUUUGUUUCAAGUCUUCAAUUGCUCAAUGCAAUGAGUUAGAGGGAGUAGUAUUUUCCAUUCUAGGGAGAGUUUUUAUGCAAGAAUUUUAAUUUUUUGGAUUCUAGUUCUUAGGGGGAGUUUAUGUUUUUAUUGCUCUUAAUUUUCUGCUUAAUGUUGUCUUUCCAUUUAUUGAUCAAUAAAAUUAGCAUUUUAUUUUAAUUCUUGCCUUGGUUUAUUUUCAUGAACUAACAUGCUAAUUGUCAAUUAUUUUGGUUAGUUCCUUGUUGUUUUUAUACUUGUCCAGAUUUAUAUCUUAGCGCCAAAGUUCAUGGAAGACUUGUGUUAGUUGCUUUUGCCACAAGAAUGCCAAAGGGGGAGAUUGUUAAGUCCAUUAUUUAUAGAAUUGGUAUUUUAUGGCAAGUCUAGUUAAAUUGGAAGUUUAUUUAUUGCAUAUCUUGUAAUAGGGAUUAAUUUAUUAAUUCCCUAAUUUAGUGAGAUUCCGAUUUAUUAGGAAUAUUUGUUUCCUAAUUUAAUUAUAUGUCUAUUUUAGCAAUUCAAUUAAUGGUGGGAUUCUAUAAUUGGCGCAUGAGAUCUAUUUAGAGUAAGAAGUUGGUUCAAACAGGAAUUCAUUAAAUGCUCUAGAUAUUUCUUAGGAGACAAGGCAAGAAGAUCAUAUUUAAUCAUAUUUAGAUUCAUGGGAAUUAUAAGAGGAAAGAAACUCUUAUUUGGAAAGAAUCCAAGUCUUUUAAGACUUGUUAUUUUGGUGAAACCCUAGUGCUUAUAUAAAGAGAGGUAUUUCAAAAUUGAAGGGUGAUCGCACAACACAGAGCGUAAAGCAAAGAAGCAAAAUUCGGCCUCUUCCCUAGAGAAUCCGGAUUUGGCGCAUAAUGUUGUGUUGAUUUGUUUUCUUAUCUUCUUUUCAUUUCUGUGGAGAGUCUAUGUGGAUCUUGGAUCACUAGACAUUGAAGAAUUGAAGAAUUGCUAUUGAUCACUUUACGAAGUGCCUUGAGGAUCGUGUAUCAAGAGAGGUAGUAAUUAUUCAAGAGAACCAGAUCAAUUCUAAGGUUGAGUAAACUGUAUGGUGAUAUAUUGUAAGUGAGAGUCUUAAGUUUGGUAAAUCCAUAGGUUGUAACAUCUCAACUUAGUAAAUUACUUUUCAUCUGGGUGUGGCCUCGUAGAUGUAGGAUUGAUUAAUCUGAACCACGUAAAAAUCUUCGUGUCAUUUAUUUUCUUCAUUUUAUUGUGUUUUUGGAAAAUUAAUAUUUUUUAUGCGGAUGAACAGUAUACGUGACCAGUAACUAUGAACAGUACGGUGAAUAGUACAAUGAACAGUACUUCCGAAAAAAUUAAUUAAGUAAUUAAUUUUUGAUUUUUUAACUGCCUACAUCUAUUUUUGAUUGAUCUAAAUUCCUUUCAAAUUUAAUCUUAUGAUUUAUGAUUGAUAAAUUGUGUUGUAUAGUGCUAGUAUGUUUAUUAAUCAUAUCAUAUUUUUGUUAGCCUAAAGGGCUACACAUAAUGUAAUUUUGAUGACAACAAAUAUGUGUCUUAAGUGAUUUAAUAAAUAUUGUAUUUCACAUUUUCACUAGUUCUUGAAGGAUAAUAUUUAUGAUGAAGUGAACCACGUGAAAUUAAGUUCAAGACAUUCAACAAACAACAGCACAAUCAAGAAUAAAGUUUAGAGUUCAACAGACUCAUUAUUGCGACAAUUCUUGUAAAGCCGAUAUGAUUUAAUACAUGAAUGAUUUAGCAUUUAAGAAACUCAAGAUUUUAUUUAAUAAAUCAUUAUUUUUCAUAAACAAGCGAAGUAUUUUAUGAAAUUAGCUGUUUUUCAGGAUGUGGACUAAAAUGAAAAAGUUUUGUCAUCUUUGAUUUUAAUAAGUAUUGUUUUAAAUUCUAGAUUUGAAUCUAUUUGCAAAUAUUUCAAACAUUUUAGGCCAUACUAUGAUUUAUUAAAGUUUGAGGACCCCAGUGUAAAUAUCCAAAAUGGACAGAGAGUUAGCGGCUAACCGCCUGAGGGCUAGUACCUAGCCACCUGAGGAAAAUCUCAUAUUUUCAAAUUUUGGACUUAAUUGAAAGGU